rnacentral:rRNA from 1 species
AACGAACGCUGGCGGCAUGCCUAACACAUGCAAGUCGAACGAGACCUUCGGGUCUAGUGGCGCACGGGUGCGUAACGCGUGGGAACCUGCCCUUAGGUUCGGAAUAACUCCCCGAAAGGGGUGCUAAUACCGGAUAAUGUCUUCGGACCAAAGAUUUAUCGCCUUUGGAUGGGCCCGCGUUGGAUUAGCUAGUUGGUAGGGUAAAAGCCUACCAAGGCGACGAUCCAUAGCUGGUCUGAGAGGAUGAUCAGCCACACUGGGACUGAGACACGGCCCAGACUCCUACGGGAGGCAGCAGUGGGGAAUAUUGGACAAUGGGCGAAAGGCUGAUCCAGCAAUGCCGCGUGAGUGAUGAAGGCCUGAGGGUUGUAAAGCUCUUUUACCCGGGAUGAUAAUGACAGUACCGGGAGAAUAAGCUCCGGCUAACUCCGUG